UACGUAGGCAGCGAGCGUUGUUCGGAAUUACUUGGCGUAAAGAGUGUGUAGGCGGUGCUCUAAGUUCGGUGUGAAAUCUCCUGGCUCAACUGGGAGGGUGCGCCGGAAACUGGAGUGCUUGAGCGUGGGAGAGGAAAGCGGAAUUCCUGGUGUAGCGGUGAAAUGCGUAGAUAUCAGGAGGAACACCUGUGGUGUAGACGGCUUUCUGGACCAUAGCUGACGCUGAGACACGAAAGCGUGGGUAGCAAACAGG
rnacentral:rRNA from 1 species